GCAUGCGCGCAACGUUCGACAGGUAUAGUUACGCGUCUUCCCGACGCAGGGUUUCUCUUUCCGGCCGGCCCCAGUGCCUUUGGGCUGUGUGCAGAUCCUGGCGGUAGCGCACAGUUCCUCCCUGUCCUUGUCAUCCUUCGUGAGAAGAUGAGCUCUCACACGUCCUUCAAGACCCCAGACAACUUUUGCUUUUAUUUCCCUUUCUCCUCAAGUUUAGGGAAUGCUUGCCCAAGAGAUAAAAAGUGGAAAAGAAAGCAGAGUGGAUUCACGUGUAAUUGUAUCAUCUCUGAGAUCACCAUUGACAUAAACAGCCCGAGAAAGGUGAGAGCCCGGAGGAGAGCUGACCACCGCGUGAGUGAGGGUGAAAGCGAGGGCAGCCAGCAGCUAGAUCCCUUCGACUGUAACGCGCUUACUAAAUCACGGCCUGCAACCUGC